rnacentral:rRNA from 1 species
CAGAACGAACGCUGGCGGCAGGUCUUAGGCAUGCAAGUCGAACGGAUGACAAGGGAGCUUGCUCCUGAAGUCAGUGGCGCACGAGUGAGUAACGCGUGGGAAACUGCCCUUCACUGGGGAAUAACGUUUGGAAACGAACGCUAAUACCGCAUACGCCCGCAAGGGGAAAGAUUUAUCGGUGAUGGAUGUGCCCGCGUUGGAUUAGCUAGUUGGUGGGGUAAUGGCCUACCAAGGCGAUGAUCCAUAGCUGGUCUGAGAGGACGAUCAGCCACGCUGGAACUGAGACACGGUCCAGACUCCUACGGGAGGCAGCAGCUAAGAAUAUUGGGCAAUGGAGGAAACUCUGACCCAGCCAAUGCCGCGUGAAUGAAGAAGGCCUUCGGGUUGUAAAGUUCUUUUAGUCAUGAAGAUGAUGACAGUAGUGACAGAAAAAGCACCGGCUAACUUCGUGCCAGCCGCUGC